rnacentral:lncRNA from 1 species
GGUGACACUGCCAUGCUGGACAGUAUUUAUUGUAAUCAUCUGCAGGUAACAGGUAGGAAUUCUGAUGAAUAUUUUGAGGCAUGAAACAGUCAAGGCAUUUGUCCAAGGUCACACAGGAAGGCUGCUGCAGAGCUAGGAAUAAAAAUUCUUCCUUACUCCAGCCUUACUAAUAUCUAUCUUUUCACUAGGUCACUCUAAUGCCACAAGAUGGACUGCUUACCUGUUAAGAAACAAAACCAAGAAAAUAUCAUUUUGGCAUCAGCUGACAAUGAGGUCAGAAGGGGCAAACUGACAAAGUGUGUUACUUUACCUGUGGUACCAUUCUGCAUUCUGCCAAAAAGAACGACCGAUGAAGAAAGACAAAGAUUUGCUAUAUAAAUAUAAUAUAAAGAAAAGAAGUCUUGAUAAUGAUAAUGAGAUCUUACUUGUUCUUUGACUA